UCUGUACAGCAAAGGGUUAGUUUAUAAAUAGAAGAUUAUUCUACAUCACUAUCAUUUCUUGCAAAUGAAGAUUCAAGUAAGUAAUUGAUUAACUGUAACUAGCAAAUAUAGCAAACUACAUUAAUUCAUUUUAAAAUGUCUAUUAUUCUACAGAUAUUAUAAUAAACUUUGGUUCUAGUCAACAGUUUUCUAAUCAUAAAUAUAUCUCUCCAAUUGCUUGAUUCUAAUGCAAUUCUUAAGAACUCUGCUGUUUGGAAACAGAGGGGCUAAAAGAGGUGAAGAACAAGAGCAGAAAACCCAAUUCAGUAAUUACUAGAAGUCACAAGCACCCAGGUACAACAGUGGAUGAGAAUGAAUACUGGAGAAGCUGCUAAAAGAGCCCUAGUACAGCCUCCUCUCUGUAGCCAAAGAACCAGCUCAGUAGCAGAAGAGGCUGACUGGAGAAGUGAGCCUGCCCCCCUGACGGAGGUAACCACCCCGCUCAUGCCAUGCUGCCCUGGAGACCGGGACAGAGUCUGGAUCGCCACGCCUCUGCAGCAGUAACAAGGCAUCUCCACUUCCUCCCCGCGGGUGUGUGAGGACAGGAAUAAUGCAGUCAAGGCUCUCAGCACUACUCAGUGAUGACGAGUCCACUUCCUCCAAGGAACUGGUGGUGGGGGCCCGGAUGGAGCCCGGGCAUGAGAUCUUCUCCUGCUCCCAUCGGGGGCCCACGUUCAUCCCAUGAGAAACCAAGCCACGUGAAGACCUGCACUUACAGCUUGUCUGAAGGAUAUUGUUCAGUCUUUAAGAAGAAGGAUGUCCGUGACAAUGUGGAUGAGCCUGGAGGGUACUAUGCUAAAUGAAGUGAGACACACAAAUGAGAACUGCCUCCCUCCCUCAGCUGAACUCGGACAGACAAACGGUCAAAAUGAAGCAUUUGUGUUGGGCUUCUCUGGUGGCUCAGAAGGUAAAGAAUCCACCUGCAAUGCAGAAGACCUCUGUUCCAUUUCUUUGUGGAGAAGAUCCCCUGGAGAAGGAAAUGGCAACCCACUUCAGUAUUCUUGCUGGAGAAUUUCAUGGACAGAGGAGCCUGAAGGACUACAGUUCAUGGGGUCACGAAGAGUCAGACACGACUGAGCGACUAACAACACUUCAAUAUUCUAAAGUAUCUGCACUGGCUACAUAAUCCUGAGAAAGUGAAGAUUACAAGGAACCAACACUUUCACUUUUGAAGGAUUCAUGUUAAGUGAGGAAUGCCUCUUGCAUGUUAGUACUGUUUUAGACCAUUAAGUAUCUCAUACAGAAAAAUAAGAAAGAGGAAAAUGUUCAUUUGCUGUCUGACUUGGAAGAUGCUUAGAGAUUAGUGAAGACUCACUUUCUUAGCUUGACAAGAACUGAGUCAACAACUAACGUUUAACAUGACUGCAGCUAUAGAAAGAGGAAGGAACCCAUUAGGGGCUUAGAAGAAAGAUUAAGAUGUCAGGACAAGCUCUAACUUUUCUCCUUUGGGCUGGCUAUUUUGUGCUUGUCCCACCAAAUCCACCCUCUAGACUUUUUCCUCCUGGAUCACUGGAAGCUAGCCUAUGUGAAUUGUAUCUUGCUACUGUUACCUUUGGCGCUUCUGUAAAGCUGAUGGGAAGUUCUGGCAGAAAAUGAAAGGAGAGAAGGAAAUUGAGGUCGUUUUAAUUUGACAGACACCCUUGCUUCAGGGUCACUGUCAGACAGCUGUAUUACUCGGAUGGAGAGACCAGUUUGUGUGAGAAGAUCCUCACGAUGCAAGUACCCACCCUGGGUCUAGAACACUGCUUUCCUGCUUGCCAUUUUAAUUAGAGAUUUUAGGAGGCUACCCACUUUUGCUGGUUUCAGGGUUCUGCAGUAUCCUUUGAUGGUUUCUUUAUAGUCUACCCACACUUUAGUACAACAUUCAUUUAUUAAACUUCCUUAGUUAC